rnacentral:rRNA from 1 species
GGCUCAGGAUGAACGCUGGCGGCGUGCCUAAUACAUGCAAGUCGAGCGAACGGACGAGAAGCUUGCUUCUCUGAUGUUAGCGGCGGACGGGUGAGUAACACGUGGAUAACCUACCUAUAAGACUGGGAUAACUUCGGGAAACCGGAGCUAAUACCGGAUAAUAUUUUGAACCGCAUGGUUCAAAAGUGAAAGACGGUCUUGCUGUCACUUAUAGAUGGAUCCGCGCUGCAUUAGCUAGUUGGUAAGGUAACGGCUUACCAAGGCAACGAUGCAUAGCCGACCUGAGAGGGUGAUCGGCCACACUGGAACUGAGACACGGUCCAGACUCCUACGGGAGGCAGCAGUAGGGAAUCUUCCGCAAUGGGCGAAAGCCUGACGGAGCAACGCCGCGUGAGUGAUGAAGGUCUUCGGAUCGUAAAACUCUGUUAUUAGGGAAGAACAUAUGUGUAAGUAACUGUGCACAUCUUGACGGUACCUAAUCAGAAAGCCACGGCUAACUACGUGCCAGCAGCCGCGGUAAUACGUAGGUGGCAAGCGUUAUCCGGAAUUAU